ensembl:snRNA U6 U6 spliceosomal RNA
GUGCUCGCUUGGGUAGCACGUGUACUAAAACUGGAACAGUACAGAGAAGAUUAGCCCGCCCCUGUGCAAGGGUGACGUGCAAAUUCGGAUCCUGUGACUCCCUCUC